rnacentral:lncRNA from 1 species
UUACCAAACUAAGCAGAUGGUUUCCAGUCUAAGUAGAAUUGUAUAAGUACUUGGAUUUCAUUGGGUAAUGCUAAAGGCAAUGUCCCUAACGUUCUCAUCGGUCCAAUCACAAAUACAUACUUGACUGUCCUAAUGUCCUCAUAGGCCCAAUCACAAACGCAAAUGCAAAUCAAGAUCACCAUUCGAGGUGAGACUCAUCACAUAUUUUUGGCUAGUAAAAUAUCUCUAAAACUCAAUAUAACAACGACUCAAUCUACUAGUAGUAAAAACUCGUAGAUCCAAAUCAUCAGCUCAAAAUAUUUAAACCCAAUUAUUAUUAUUAGGAUUUAUGAUCCAUAUGGUUGUGGGGUUUUCUUACAUUUUAACCAAAAAACAAAUUAAAUU